rnacentral:rRNA from 1 species
GAUGAACGCUGGCGGCGUGCCUAAUACAUGCAAGUCGAGCGAACAGAUAAGGAGCUUGCUCCUUUGACGUUAGCGGCGGACGGGUGAGUAACACGUGGGUAACCUAUCUAUAAGACUGGAAUAACUCCGGGAAACCGGGGCUAAUGCCGGAUAACAUGUUGAACCGCAUGGUUCUACAGUGAAAGGCGGCUUUGCUGUCACUUAUAGAUGGACCCGCGCCGUAUUAGCUAGUUGGUGAGGUAACGGCUCACCAAGGCAACGAUACGUAGCCGACCUGAGAGGGUGAUCGGCCACACUGGAACUGAGACACGGUCCAGACUCCUACGGGAGGCAGCAGUAGGGAAUCUUCCGCAAUGGGCGAAAGCCUGACGGAGCAACGCCGCGUGAGUGAUGAAGGUCUUCGGAUCGUAAAACUCUGUUAUUAGGGAAGAACAAGUGCGUAAGUAACUGUGCGCGUCUUGACGGUACCUAAUCAGAAAGCCACGGCUAACUACGUG